rnacentral:rRNA from 1 species
GAUGAACGCUGGCGGCGUGCCUAAUACAUGCAAGUCGAGCGAACAGAUGAGGAGCUUGCUCCUCUUACGUUAGCGGCGGACGGGUGAGUAACACGUGGAUAACCUACCUAUAAGACUGGGAUAACUUCGGGAAACCGGAGCUAAUACCGGAUAAUAUAUUGAACCGCAUGGUUCAAUAGUGAAAGACGGUUUUGCUGUCACUUAUAGAGGGAUCCGCGCCGCAUUAGCUAGUUGGUAAGGUAACGGCUUACCAAGGCAACGAUGCGUAGCCGACCUGAGAGGGUGAUCGCCCACACUGGAACUGAGACACGGUCCAGACUCCUACGGGAGGCAGCAGUAGGGAAUCUUCCGCAAAGGGCGAAAGCCUGACGGAGCAACGCCGCGUGAGUGAUGAAGGUCUUCGGAUCGUAAAACUCUGUUAUUAGGGAAGAACAAAUGUGUAAGUAAAUAUGCACGUCUUGACGGUACCUAAUCAGAAAGCCACGGCUAACUACGUG